CGAAGGGGGCCAGCGUUGUUCGGAAUUACUGGGCGUAAAGGGCGUGUAGGCGGCCCGUUAAGUCAGGUGUGAAAUUCCUGGGCUCAACCCAGGACGUGCGCCUGAGACUGGCGGGCUUGAAUCCGGGAGAGGAUGGUGGAACUCCCAGUGUAGAGGUGAAAUUCGUAGAUAUUGGGAAGAACACCCGUGGCGAAGGCGGCCAUCUGGACCGGUAUUGACGCUAAGGCGCGACAGCGUGGGGAGCAAACAGGAUUAGAUACCCUGGUAGUCCACGCCGUAAACGAUGAGUGCUAGACGUUGGGAAGCCUAGCUUUUCAGUGUCGCAGCUAACGCAUUAAGCACUCCGCCUGGGGAGUACGGCCGCAAGGUUG
rnacentral:rRNA from 1 species